CAGUUGCUGUUGGGAUUCUUGGGAACUGGUGCCAGCUGCAGUGGUUUUGUGCAUGGACAAUGGAUGUAGAAGGGAAAAACAUGUAUUUUGCUGAAAGAUGGCGUUUUGCACUCAGUUGUUUUGGGUGGUUUUUUGCAGAAAUAGGUGAAAGGAAAAAAAAAUGUUCUGUGAUAAAGUCUGGUUUCUUACGUGUGUGAAAUCAAGUGGAGUUGAAACAGACUGUGGUUCCCCUUGGCAUCUGUAAAGUUGGUGUUAAAUUUAAAGGAGGAAACGAGUUUCAGUCCUCUCUUCAGUCUUGCUUUGUAGAGAAGUUAGAUAAUGCUUUUCUCUGUUUUUAGUUUGGUGAUAAUAAGGGAAGGGAACAAAAGAGCAGAGGUAAGCAGCUGUGCACCAAGUAAGUUCCCUCAGAAUGGCUGCUGUAACUUUUAAGAGCCAUUCCUAGUGUAAAUACAUUCCCCUGAAGAGGUGCAGUGUGAACAAAAACUGCACAGAAGCCUGAUUCCUGAGUGGGUGUGAAUUUACUGUAUUUCCUGCUUGGAUAUGUAUUUUGGGUUCUGUGUUGUAUUCAGGUUUUAGCAUAAAAGCACUUUGGUUUCCAAAAGGGUGGUACAAAUGGGAGACUACUGUAGUGAUUGCUCAUGUCGAGUUUAGCUUCUGGUUGCACGUAAAUCUACAUGAAACCAGUUUUGUGUGUCUCCCAGUCACAAAAGGUUUGCUUUUUCUUUCAGUGACACACAGUUGUCCUCCACACAGAGGCAGCACUUCACAGUAAUGCUGGAAAGCCUCCCGAGCUGCAACUUGUAAUUAAAAAUCACACCCUGUCAUAAAACUAUGUGCCUUCCAGGCUGAUUUAAAAAUUCAGGCUACGAACACGAUGCAUCGUGUGAUUGCCUCUCUCUUUGAGAUAUUUUAAUAAUAUUUUUUUUAAAUUUUCUGAUUGGCUUUUAAAAAGCUCUCCUGAAGAAGAGGCAGUAGAGUUUGGGCAUGUUUUUUUAUGUUUGAAGAAUAAUAAGUGUUUAUGCAUAUUUUAUUUCUGGUACAAUACUGGUGUUCUAGUAUUCUGAGCUAUGACCAGGAUGUCCCUGCAUUUGGCACAGUUGAAAAAUGCUCUGAUCCUGACAACAUUCCUGUGGCUUGGAUAAAUACAUCCUUUUACUUAGCUGUGGAAACGCAUGGUGGUGCUCAAUCCUAACAUUAAUAAGUGCUAAAGUGUAAGUACUGUAUAGUUACAAUUCAGAGCCCAAACAGCAUAAUCUUUUCUUUGUACUGAGGAGUCUUUUGUGGUGGUGCUCUCUGGGUUUACGCUACGGAGCAGUGUAUUUAUCUGUGUUUACACUAGCAAAGCAAGGAGAAAGGAAAAGCAGUGGGGAAAUUUUAAAGCAAAUGCAUGUUUCCUUUCACCCUGAUGUGCACUACAUCCUGGGAUGCUCCAGGGUGAAAUAAAAUAAGUGACUGCAUGUCAAGUUGAUGUCUGCUGGCUCUCUUUAAGUACCUCAUGUUCAACAGCAAGUAUUUCUGAGCAUUUAUGAGGAUUACAAUCCUGUGCAUAACUACUGAAGCCAGGGAGCUCAUCUUCUAUAUUAUUGUUCAUCCUGGACUUAAGAGAGCAGAAUUCCUACUAGCAACUCAGGGGGAUGCUAGGUAAGAAUCCUUUAAAAUCAGUUAAAAAAGUUUUCAGCUUAAGUGGAAACCUCAAAAGGUUGCCUUGAGAAUUAAGAGGAAGUUUAGAUCAAGAUCUCUUUGUGAUCUGAAGAGUUAGAAAGCAAAAGGUGAUGACAUUACAGGGCUGAGAGAUGCUAAAUAUUUGUUAUAUUCAGUGACUAAUGGUGGAGAGACAGUGAUCAUGAUGCAGGCUAUGAAUGGGCCAACCUCCCAGGUUUCAAAGGUUUGCACCUUUUUUUUUCUUUUUUUUUUUUUUUCCCCCCAGAUUGCUUUUUGGUUCAGAAAACUCUUGAAUAUGUGCCAGUCUCUCUACCCCGCUUUUAAAUUUAACCCACUUUAGGAAAAAAUCUAGAGCAGAGCCCAUAUUCUCCAAUAUCUGUUUUAUGCUUUCUGGUUUCAACUCUUACUACUUUCUGCAAUACUUUCUUAUUUAUUACUAUUUGACAGUCCCUUUUCUCUGUUUUAUAGUUAGUUCUAAGCAAGUGGUAAAAGCAAUGAUGUCUGAGGAUGUCAAACUCUUCAGGUCUAUACAAUCCAGUGGUUCCAGCCCAAUGCAGAUAUGUUGUGCACAAACCUUCUGUGCUGCCCAUGGCCUCUUCCCUGGAACACAAUGGGCAGCACAGCUUACUGGGCACUGCCACCAGUGUCUCCUGGAAAUGCUGUGUUAGGAUGUGGGUUCUGAAUCACUGCCUGACUCUGGGCAAAACACCGACAACUGAAUUUCCAGUGUUCAAUAACGUGACGUGCUUCAGUAGCUGGCAGCUCAGCUGGAGACAUGGAAACGUCUCAAGUUUGAAAUGAAAGACAUUAUCAAGUUAUCAGGAAUACAAUGAUCCCCCACUGGCAAGGUAUCUUGGGAGAGAACUGUGAUGCUUUUGUUCACUGAACAAAACCUGAUUCAUCACUUUCCUUACAUCAUCACCCAGCUCUCUAGCUUCCCUCCAGAGAUUGGUAUGGCUUUUUAGGAGAAGAAAAGCAGACCCUAGAAAUGAAGCUGAAAUUCUUCUGCCUUAUAUGACAGCUGGUUCAGACUCCUUGUGAUAAGAAGUGGGGUACUGGCAAGUACUGGUGACACAGCAGUGAGUAGGCUGAGCCCAGCAGAACAAUGGGGUGGCUGGAGACUAGUGAACCUAUUGUUUUUCCAUGCUCUCUGCAGGAGUCCAGGGUUUUGAGCAGUGUGUUUACCCCAGAUACAACAACAUAAUUAAGUGACAGUGGCAUGAUUAAUAAAAAGAUGCAUGAAACGAGCUGCAAGCACUUGUCAAGCACAGGCCUGUGAAGUGACAAAGAAGGAAACUAACUGCUUAGGAGAGAAAGUCAGUGGAGAGAAACCCUGUGCAGAAGGGUCUCUGUAAACUUUGUAAGCCUGACCAGAGCAAAAAAUGCUUGAGUAACAAUCAUAAGUACAUGCAUGUCCUUUGUUUGGCUGGACAUGCUUUUUCUUUCUAAAGAGAAGUCAUUACCAUGUUCAGGAAUCCUUGCACGAACCAAUAGCUUUAAACUAAAAGCUUUACAGCAAAAAAGCCUGCUAUUUUUAAAAUGGCAUUGUAGUCUGAACCUUGUGAACAAUUGUAUCAGUAAGUUGAGCUCCUCUGUGGUGCCAGAGAAAGGGCUUUCAUCUGGGAGGGCUCCAUCAGCUGUGACAUUUGGUCUUCAUCCUGGGCUGGCUGGUGUUUGGGAGAAGACAGGCCCAGUGUUACACCAACAACAACCACCGGAGUGUACAGCAAGUUUUGAGAGAAGUUAACAUGGACAUGUUCUAUCAACCUUUUUCUUCUGGUGUUUUGAAAACCCCGGGUACUUGGACAAGGGUGAUUUUGCAAAGCAGAAUGUGGACAGAUGCCCACUCUUUUAUUUUAGUAUUUCUGCUUUAUAGAGUUAAGACAUUGUGUUGAGGCUACAUGUUAUUAGUAUCUAUGUCUAUGAAUGCUUCAGUUCUCAUUAGAGGUGGAAGGAAUAAAGCAAUUGCUAAGUUGGCUAGCCCAACCCUUGUGAGCUACAGGAUUUUCCAGUUCAGUCUAUUCCCU